CCUGUAUAAAUAAAGGACAGAGCAUGGACACAAUGGAAUUGGGAUCAAGAAGAAGGUAAUGUAGUGGCAGGAUAGCCUAGUGGUUAGAGUGUUGGACUAGUAACCAGAAGGUUGCAAGUUCAAACCCCUGAGCUGACAAAGUACAAAUCUGUUGUUCUACCCCUGAGCAGGCACUGUUCCUAGGCUGUCAUUGAAAAUAAGAAUUUGUUCUUAACUGACUUGCCUAGUAAAAUAAAAGUAGUACAGCUGCAUUUGAAAUGUACAUUUAACCUACAUAGCAGUCAAUACAAACAAAAAUCUAUUAGCAUGCAAAGGUCUUUUCAAAUCUUCUCAGAAAUUAAUCAAGGCCAUGGAAUGGAUAUAGACAAAAAAAUAAUCAAGGACUAGCAGAGGCAGGGGUGAAGACAUCAUCCUGCUAUUUCUGUGAGAUUCUGACCUUUAUUUCCCUUGUUUUGUCUUUAUUUAGUAUGGUCAGGGCGUGAGUUGGGGUGGGCAGUCUGUUUGUGUUUCUAUGUUUUUUCUAUUUCUGUGUUUGGCCUGAUAUGGUUCUCAAUCAGAGGCAGCUGUUUAUCGUUGUCCCUGAUUGAGAACCAUAUUUCGAUAGCCUGGGUUUCACUGUUGGUUUGUGGGUGUUUGUUUCCGUAUGUGUGUUUGUCGCCACACGGUACUGGUUCGGUUAUGGCACAUAUUCGUUUAUUGUUUUUUUGAUAGUGUUCAGUGCUUUUCUUAUUAAAAUCGUCAUGAACACUUUAUCACGCCGCAUCUUGGUGCGAUCCUUACUCCAAUUCAGACGAAGAGGAAAUCUGCCGUUACAAUUUCAACAGUCCCUGAAGGACAAUACAGAAGCGGCACACAGGGGACUCGAGACCACAGCAGCGAUCCUGCUCUUGCCCUACCUCUUCAAUGAGGACCCGAGUGGCCUUUGUAUGUCCGUGACAAGAUUUCACCGCUCCCCACUCCUUUACUGCACAUCGACGGAAAAUCCCGCUGGCCUUUGAUGGGGAGAACAUGCACGCCCUAGAGGACAUUCCCAUGGGACUUGUGGCUCUGCUAGGGCUUUUAUUUCCCAAAGAUUUCUGAGAAGCACUUAUAUUCUUAAAUUACUGUGUUCUGGGGGUGAAGUUACCAGGGCCGGUCAUAAAGAUGGCAAACUUCCUAAUAUAACUAAGUGGUUUAGGACAGACGCACACUCAAGCAAAAAAAUCUGUAUUUAGCAUUAAGUCUACAAUAUUGUUAGUUUACCUAUGCUUCAUUUUUAAUGUAUCUUGUUUUUAUUGUAAAUUAUUUAAAAUAAAAAAUUGUAAUGAAAAGCA